GAUGAAGAACGCAGCGAAAUGCGAUAAGUAAUGUGAAUUGCAGAAUUCAGUGAAUCAUCGAAUCUUUGAACGCACAUUGUGCCCGCCAGUAUUCUGGCGGGCAUGCCUGUCUGAGCGUCAUUUCAACCCUCAUGCCCCUAGGGCGUGGUGUUGGGGAUCGGCCAAAGCCCGCGAGGGACGGCCGGCCCCUAAAUCUAGUGGCGGACCCGUCGUGGCCUCCUCUGCGAAGUAGUGAUAUUCCGCAUCGGAGAGCGACGAGCCCCUGCCGUUAAACCCCCAACUUUCCAAGGUUGACCUCAGAUCAGGUAGGAAUACCCGCUGAACUUAAGCAUAUCAAUAAGCGGAGGA
rnacentral:misc_RNA from 1 species